AGUGAACGCUGGCGGUAGGCCUAACACAUGCAAGUCGAACGGCAGCACAGUAAGAGCUUGCUCUUACGGGUGGCGAGUGGCGGACGGGUGAGGAAUACAUCGGAAUCUACUUUUUCGUGGGGGAUAACGUAGGGAAACUUACGCUAAUACCGCAUACGACCUACGGGUGAAAGCAGGGGAUCUUCGGACCUUGCGCGAUUGAAUGAGCCGAUAUCGGAUUAGCUAGUUGGCGGGGUAAAGGCCCACCAAGGCGACGAUCCGUAGCUGGUCUGAGAGGAUGAUCAGCCACACUGGAACUGAGACACGGUCCAGACUCCUACGGGAGGCAGCAGUGGGGAAUAUUGGACAAUGGGCGCAGGCCUGAUCCAGCCAUACCGCGUGGGUGAAGAAGGCCUUCGGGUUGUAAAGCCCUUUUGUUGGGAAAGAAAAGCAGCAGGUUAAUACCCCGCUGUUCUGACGGUACCCAAAGAAUAAGCACCGGCUAACUUCGUG
rnacentral:rRNA from 1 species